GCCUGGGUGGCUCAGUGGGUUAGAGCCUCUGCCUUCGGCUCAGGUCAUCAUCCCAGGGUCCUGGGAUCGAACCCCACAUCAGGCU
rnacentral:tRNA from 1 species